rnacentral:lncRNA from 7 species
UCUCAAGGAGAUCACAUCUGGGAUUGCCCCAACCCAAGUGCAGCACCCUGUUCUACUAGAAGCAAGAUCCAAAGUAACAUUAGCAGACUGCAAAUUAAGGACUCCUAGAUGAUAUACACUAUACACUUUUUUCAGUAAAGAAAACAUUAUGCUGGGGCAAAAUUAUUCAAAAAUAGUCAAACAGAAACUCUUAGAAAGGGCCAUAGAUAUUUAACCUAUAUGAGGAUUAUGUAAAAAUUAAGAUGUCAGUGAAUAAAUAUAUCACUGAAUAGUACAGUUUCAAUUCUGGCACGUUCAUAAGAGAUAUGGAGAAAUUAGCAGGGUUUUUGGAAGACAGGAUUAAUAUAAAAGAGUAUGUAUUUAAGAAGGAUUAUAUUCUUCAAAAAAUAAAAUCAAAUUAUUGCAUUUCUUUUCAUCUUGAGCUAAGCAUAUUCAUACUGUCCUGAAAAAUGAUGUAGUCUUCUUGAAAUAAAUAUGAAACACAGAGUCUGUUCACAGUGAAAAUUAUUUCAUACUUAUAGGAAAAUAAAAUAACUACAGAGUUCCUAGAACUAUUUCCUCAAGAAACACUGUGAUGAGCUCCCUGCAGUUUACAAACGGAUGUGAUCACAAUAUUGUCCUGUGCGGCCAGAAGGAGCAAAAUGUGCUGAGAUACAAGCAGGAUUCUGACAGAGACUACAGUAAUUCUGCUGUAAAUCAUUGUCACCUUAAACACAGCUGCAGUUUGAUGAGAGCCAACAGAAUGGGACCGAAUAAAGCAGAACACUGGGAUAUGAUGCAGCUCCGGAAGACAACAAAAUACUUGUCUGUUUUUUAAACUAUUAGAAAAGUGAGCAAGAAAACUUGGGAAAACUUUCAAAUGGUUUUUCAUUAUACAUAUUUUUGAAGGCAUUCUUAAAUUGAGUAGGUCAUUCAACAUUUAACAUAUGUAUAUUACAUAUAGAAAAAAGAAUUCUAAAGACUAAACAUUAUUUUUAGUAGGAUUCACUAGUACUGUAUGAGCAAAUUUUACCUCAAUAAAUAAUGAUUGGUAAGAAAGUAGAUGACUUUACAAUAUGAUAGCUACUUUACCUAUAAAUUAUGUUGAUAUUUGAAACUCAUUCUACCAAAACUUAGACAGUUAAUAUCUGAAUUAAGAUAUGAAGGGGGCUACCCUUCGUUACUGACCUUAGAGAGAUUUAGAUCUUUUUGGUCUAAAUGCCAAGGACAAAGAUAUGUGCAUACUUGUCCAGACUGGAUAGAUGACUUGCCCUGCUCUGAAAAGGAAAUGGGAAUGGGUGAGCUCUCAUGUCCUGUCAAAAUGAAUCCUUCUGUGAUUCUGACAGAAAAUAACAAUAGUCCAAAACCACAGUGUGUGUUCCUUGUUCCACUUUGAUAUUGAUUGCGCUUCUGAUUAGAUUCUUCACCCUGACUGUGGGUCUGUUGCACCACAGUCAUAUGAUUUCAAAUAUGAAAGAUGAUGUUUAAAACUAGUGUCAUUACACUAUACAGUGUCAUAGCAGUCAACAUAAUUGACAAAGCACAUGGGAAAAUUGGGGUGAAAAAGACAGUAAAUGGUCAGAUAUUUUGAAUAUACUGGGAAUUAUUACAAAUAGAAUUGCAUUUCUCCUGUUUACAUAUUGGCAGCUGAAAUUGACCUUAAUUUUGAAAAGUUUUGCCCUUUAAAUACGGAAAUAAGGUAAAUAUCCUAGAAAUUAUUUACAAAGUAAUUAGAAAACAUCUAAAAAUAUGUGGUUCGCUAAACAGCAAUAUAACAAUUUUUUUAAUUUAUGCAACACUAUUUCUCUGCUAGCUUCUGACAUGUAUCAUUUCAGUUCUCAGAAGGCACAUUAAAAUCACAUUGCAUAAUGUCUGUUUACAUGAAAGCCUGUAUACAAAACAGUUUAGUGCACAGUGUGACAAAAUUUCUCCCUGCUAGGCCAUACUUCAUUAUGUCUUUUCAUUUUAAAUAAAUACCUCAGAAGUAAAUGGACAAUAAACAAUUUAUUUGAAGAGGAGCUGAUAGUUAUCUCGUUCUUCUAAAACAUACAUUUUAGUUACAUGGUUUUUCAGUGAUUUUAGUUUAUAAGUUCAUAAAAUGAAAGCAAAGUAUUCUAAAAUAGAAUACAAGGAUCUUAUGUAAGAGAAUGUGUGUAAAAUAAGACAGGAAAAGCAUUUCAUCUAACAUUUUUAAGUAAGAAAAUGAAAGACCAGCCCUGUCAGUGUUGGUUUUAGAGUAGGUGUGUGCCUGUGGGCAUAUGUAUGUUUGUAUGACUUUGCCUAAACUAAUGACAGUAACCAAACUACUGAAGUACUGAAUCACAGAUAUGCAUUUAGGCCAUGGAAUCUUUAUACAUAAAAUCUCAACAAAUUAGAAUUAAGUUUUUAAGUAGCUAUUAG